CAGUAGAAAAUGCCCAUGAGCAGCUACAGACUUAGGGCUUAGCACAGGGAUCCACAAACUGUAACACUCAGGCCAAAUCCCACCAAAGCCUGUUUGUGUACAGCCUGUUAGCUAAGGAAAAUAUUUACAUUUUUAAAGGGUUAUAAAAAAUGCAAAGAAGACUAUGUGACAGAGACAGAGAUGUAUGGAUACCAAGCUGAAAAUGAUUAUUAUCUGGCCUUUUCUAGAAAAUGUUUACUGACAUCGCAGCUCCAGUGCACAAAGAGCUCUUCUUGUCCAUUUUUUUUUCUGGCAGAAGACCCAAGAUUGCUUUCCUGGGAGCUUCUUAUUGCUUCUCUGUGCUGCCUUCUGGAAUUUUUCUCAUUUCUAUAUGUCUCAGGCAUCAGACAGAACGGGAUUAAUGGCUUUACUGAUUCUCUCUUCAGCUGCCCUUGAAUUUUUAAUCUUAAUUACUAUAUUGUUUAUUCUCAAAGUUCUAUUUAGUACAAUACGCUUAGUGUUUUCUAUGGCUUCUUUGUCUCUCAUUAUUUUUUUCCUACCUUAAUCACUUUAAACGUUCUUAUUUUAUAGUCCCUAGCCAAAGCUGAGUUUUGGGAGGGUUUAUAUCUUCUGUUGAUAGGCCUGCUGGCAUUGGCUCAUGUGUUUGGGGUUUUAAAAACUCUUGGAUUGUGAAUUCAUCUUAACAUGGCAUUUAAACCGUGGGAAUCCUGGAUCUCCAAGUUUGAGGGCAUCUCUCUGGUGCUACUUUUGCCAGGAAUUUUAGGAAUGUCUAAAAACUGUUUCUACACUAAUUUACCACACAGAGGUCUCCAGUGCCAUAGAGAGAGUACAACUUUGAACCCCAAAGCUGGUGAAUGCAGGCCUGGAGUUUCAAAAAUUUUCCCCCACUCAGAGCUCACUCCAAGGAAUGCAAGCUUCUCUGUCAUUUUCUUUGGUCUUUUAAGGGAGGGAGGCCUUUCCCUGCUUUUCCCCUUUCACUAAGGGUAGCAACUUCAUGUGGGAUAUCAAUUUUUCCUUCUGUCCCAGACUAACCAUCAAAUCCCAAACUCCUUGGUUUGUGAGAUCAUCAAAUACCCCCAGAUGGCCCCAACUUCAGUUCGCAGGUUAUUCUCUGGUUUUAGUUGCCAUUUCAUUUUGGCCCCUGGGAUUUUAUUUUCUUUCUUUUGAGCUCAGUUGGGACAUUUAAAGAGAAGCUGGUUCUAGUUUAUACUGCUUUUCCAGGUGUUUCAUAGCAGGAGGGUUUCAUGUAAUGCAAUCCACCACAUUGCCCCAAAUGGAAAUUCCAUUAGGCCUGUGAGACUCCAUGUAAGACUAUGCCAGCACCAUGUGCCACCCAUAGAGAGCUUCCUCUACCACUUUUAUCACCUAGAGUAGCACGCACCUUAAGAGGUGCUCACAGGAUGUGUGUUGGAGAUGACCAUUUGGGUGAGUUUCCAGGAAAGCACAGCAAAGCCUGCUGAUAAUGUGUUUUAUGUUAAGGUAUCCAGUACAAUCAUAUGUAUAUGGUGUAAUGGCUCCUGCGACAACAGCAUUGUAUGGGGCUUAAGAGUACGUGCUCCAGAAUCAGACUAUCUAGAUUUAAAUUUGGUUUCUUCUGCUUCCUAGUUGGGUAUCCUUGGGCUAGCCACUUAACUCUUCUUUUCCCAGUAUGUGAAAUCGGGGUGAUGAUGGAACCUAUCUCAGGGAGUCACGGAAAAGGGUAGAUGAGUUAAUGUCUGCAAAGGGCCGAGUCUGCGGUGUGGUCUGGUAAAUCUUAGCCUUCGUUUGUUUCAGGGAAAGGACCUGGGCUGGAGAAUAGACCCAUGCACGAGGUUGGGGUGGGGGCACAAAAGCCCAUCCAGAUAAACCUGCCCCUUUCCAGAAGUGAGAAAGGGAAGGAGGAUGAGGAAAAGGCUGAGGUAACUGAAGAGAAUACUGACCCAGUCCUCAGGAGGAAAAACAAAAAUUAAGAUUCUAAGAAAGGUUCUUCGGGCUGGGCACAAUGGCUCACACCUGUAAUCCUAGUAUUUUGGGAGGCCAAGGAGGGAGGAUCGCUUAAGCCCAGGAGUUCGAGACCAGCCCUGGCAACAUAGAGAGACUCUGUCUCUACAAAAUUAAAAAAAGAGCCAGACAUUGUUGCGUGCGUCUGUAAUCCCAGCUAUUCGGGAGGCUGAGGUGGGGGAAUCACUUGAGCCUGGUGGGCUGAGGCUGCAGUGAGCCGUGAUUGCGACACUGCACUCCAGCCUGGAUGACAGGCCAGGCCCUGUCAAAAAAAUAAAUAAAUAAAAUAAAAUAAAAUAUAAAAAGGAAGGAAGGAAGGAAGGACAG
rnacentral:lncRNA from 10 species